UACAGAGGUCUCAAGCGUUGUUCGGAUUCAUUGGGCGUAAAGGGUGCGUAGGCGGCGCGGUAAGUCGGGUGUGAAAUCUUGGAGCUUAACUCCGAGACUGCAUUCGAUACUGCCGUGCUUGAGGACUGGAGAGGAGACUGGAAUUUACGGUGUAGCGGUGAAAUGCGUAGAUAUCGUAAGGAAGACCAGUGGCGAAGGCGGGUCUCUGGACAGUUACUGACGCUGAGGCACGAAGGCCAGGGGAGCAAACGGG
rnacentral:rRNA from 1 species